rnacentral:lncRNA from 1 species
UCCUACCACUCAGAGAGAACCACACUAACAUUUUGUUUCCUUUCAAAUUUGGUACUGUUUUCUAAUUAUCACAAUUCACACAAAUUAUCUCCUCAUUCUUUCAUUCAGUCCACAGCUAUAGAGCUGAGUGCUGGUGUGUGCGGUUCAGAUUCUCACUGCACUGAGAGUACCCAGAAGAACAAGUUCACUGGAGUUCAGAGCAGUUAGAUGUGGGAGACUUGACUUGGGCAACCUGAAUGGAGAAAGAGGGAAUAAGGAUGGCUUCCACAGAGCAGAAGGGCCUGCACCAGGAAGAUUGCAGGUAUUGUAGAUAUCUGGUUCUUUGACUUAUUCAGCAUUCAUUCCUCACUUCUUUUUUUUUCCUUUUUCUUUUUCUUUUUUUUUUUUUAAGAUGGAGUCUCGCUCUGUCACCCAGGCUUGAGUGCAGUGGUGAGAUCUCGUUUUACUGCAACCUCCACCUCUGGGGUUCAAGUGAUUCUCGUGCCUCAGCCUCCCGAGUAGCUGGGAAGGCGCGCGCCACCAGGCCCGGCUAAUUUUUGAAUUUUUAGUAGAGACGGGGUUUCACCAUAUUGGCCAGGCUGGUCUUGAACUCCUGACCUCAGGUGACCCGCCCACUUCGGCCUCCGAAAGUGCUGGGAUUAAAGGCGUGAGGUACCGUUCCGGCCUCAUUCCCCACUUCUGAGAAGAGCACCUGGCUUUCCUUUGGAGGAGUCAUUCCUUCCCCACCAUCAGCCCUCAGCUCCUGCUUGGGUGCAGCUAACCCUACCCCUCGGUUCCAGGUGGUCACAUGACCCAACUCUGGUCAAUCCCUCCCACCAGUGAUUGGCUCACAGCUGGGCACAUGACUAGAUCAGGCCAAUCAAGACCAAGGAGACUCUGUUCCAUCUGUGGGGCCUGCCUAGAAAGGGAAACUCUCUCUCCAUUGGAUUUGGAGCUAUAAGGAUGAAGCCUGGAGCUGCUGGUGGCUGCUUUUCUAUCAGGAGCAGAGAGAGGAUACUGGGAAAUAAAGCCAACACGGUAAAGGGAAUAGCUGAGAGAUGGAGGAAGUGUGACCACCCUGAGGGAAACCUUGGAGCUUCUCCAGCCAGUUGUAUUGAAGUCCAUGGCUUCUACGGAUUUCCGUUCACAGAAAUUUGCAAUCACAGACAUCUUUAGAUCUAUGUCCAGCUGCGUUCAUUUCACAUAUUCAGAAAUGAAGCCUAAAGAUCUGAACCCAGAAGCCAGACCUCCAGACUGCCAGUCAGUUUCCUCCCCCAUCCACUCUGAUUUAUUAAGCAGUUAGGCUGGCCCUUCCCGACCCUUCCUACACAGUGGCAGAGCUUUUGCUCCUCUACCCACUGGAAUCUACACUGGUCCCAGCCCCUCAUUCAACUCCCGUGGGACGCCAAGCAAUACGGAGUUCGGAGUUUGAGAAGCACGGAAAUCUCCUGAACCCCACCACGAGUCCACACUAGGCGGAUGAGAUAAUGAAGUCUACAACCAUCCAAACUCAAAAUCAUCUGUUGUCAAGGAAAUACAGUUUCACAUUGCAGUGCCCCUGGCUCAGUGCCUGAGGCGUAACAGGUCCUCAAUCUUUGUUGAAUGAAUGCAUGAGAAAUGAAGGAUUAUUUACUCAUUAACUACUAAUCUGUGUGCUUUGGAGAGAUAUUGGAAACUCUUGAGAAAUAGGCCUGGCCUUUUCCUUUUUAUUUGCAACGAGGAAUUUUGUUCGUCAAAUAAAUGACCUUAAAGGAUUGAGACCGCUGCCAAGCCACAGAAUCGGAGUCGAGAGGCCUGACUCAGA